GGUCAAGCGACUACGGCGCGCGGUGGAUGCCUUGGCACUUCGAGCCGAUGAAGGGCGUAGUUCGGCUGCGAUAAGCCACGGGGAGCCGCCAAACAGGCUGAUCCGUGGAUUCCCGAAUGAGGCAACUCGGCGGCGGUGAUACGCCGUCACCCCGGGCUGAACACAUAGGCCCGGUGGAGGGCACCGGGGGAACUGAAACAUCUCAGUACCCCGAGGAAAAGACAAUAUUCCCCUAGUAGUGGCGAGCGAACGGGGAUCAGUCCAAACCUGCAGACUUGAGUGGCGCUUGGGCCUAUAGGCUGCAGGGGUUGUAGGACGCGCCAUGCCGGCUCCAAUCGGCCGGCCGGCAGUUACCAAUCUCCCGGGUAGAGGAAGGUUCCUGGAAGGGACCGCCGCAGAGGGUGAGAGCCCCGUACUCGAAACCCGCGGAGACUGCCGGGCGUGCUCCUGAGUACCACGCAACACGGGAAAGUGCGUGGGAAGCUGGGGGGCCCACCUCCCAAGGCUAAAUACUCGAAGUGACCGAUAGCGAACUAGUACCGUGAGGGAAAGGUGAAAAGUACCCCGGGAGGGGAGUGAAAGAGUCCCUGAAACCGCGUGCUUUCAAGCAGUGGGAGGCCGUCCUCGGAUGGCUGACCGCGUGCCUAUUGAAGAAUGAGCCGGCGAGUUACCUUUCGUGGCAAGGUUAAGCCAGUCACUGGCGGAGCCGGAGCGAAAGCGAGUCUGAACAGGGCGAUCAGAGUCGCGGGAGGUAGACCCGAAACCAGGUGAGCUACCCAUGGCCAGGGUGAAGCGGACGUAAAAGUUCGUGAAGGCCCGAACCUUCUUCUGUUGCAAAAGGAUUGGAUGAGCUGUGGGUAGAGGUGAAAUGCCAAGCGAACUUGGAGAUAGCUGGUUCUCCCCGAAAUGCCUUUAGGGGCAGCGUUCGGCCGAUACGACCAUGGAGGUAGGGCUCUGAAUGGGCUCGGGGGCGAGCAGCCUACCAACCCCAAUCAAACCGCGAAUGCCAUGGCCGCGGUCGAGCAGUGAGUCUGUGGGGGCUAAGCUUCACAGUCGAAAGGGAAACAGCCCAGACCACCGGCUAAGGUCCCGAAAUCACGUCUUAGUGGAAAAGGAAGUUGAUCCGCGGAGACAACCAGGAGGUUGGCUUAGAAGCAGCCAUCCUUGAAAGAGUGCGUAACAGCUCACUGGUCAAGCAGUUCAGCGCCGACAAUUCAACGGGGCUCAAGACGUGUACCGAAGCCGUGGACUUCGGGGUAACCCGGAGUGGUAGGGGAGCAUUCUGUUCGGCAGCGAAGGCGGACCCGUGAGGGCUGCUGGAGCGAACAGAAGUGAGAAUGCCGGUAUGAGUAGCGAAAGGCGUGUGCGAACCACGCCCACCGAAUGCCUGAGGUUUCCUACGGAAGGCCAAUCCGCGUAGGGUUAGUCGGGCCUAAGCCGAGGACGACAGUCGUAGGCGAUGGACAGCCGGUUCAUAUUCCGGCACCACCGCACGCGCGUUUGAGCGUCAGGGGGGACCCGGGUGGGUAGCGAGAGCGUGCUAAUGGAUAUGGUGCGUCUCCCAGUCAGAGGCGCGGCCGGGGUUCAAAGACCGGCCGGUAAAGCGGAGGACUGGGGGGAAGCGGCGACGUCAGUCAAUGCAACUCGCGUGAUCCCGUUCCGGCCAGAAAAGCCUCGGAUGCGAGCACGUGCAGUGCCCGUACCGCAAACCGACACAGGUAGGUGGGGGUAAGUACCUUCAGGUGGACGAGUGAUUCCCCGUUAAGGAACUCGGCAAAAUCGCUCCGUAACUUCGGGAGAAGGAGCGCCCCGGGCCGUAGCGCGUCCGCGCGACGCGUGGCGGCCGGGGGCCGCAGAGAGCAGGCCCAGGCGACUGUUUAACAAAAACACAGGUCUCUGCGAACGGGAAACCGGACGUAUAGGGGCUGACGCCUGCCCAGUGCUGGAAGGUUAAGGGGCGGAGUGCAAGCUCCCAACCGAAGCCCCAGUGAACGGCGGCCGUAACUAUAACGGUCCUAAGGUAGCGAAAUUCCUUGUCGGG
rnacentral:rRNA from 1 species